rnacentral:rRNA from 1 species
UACGUAGGGGGCUAGCGUUGUCCGGAAUCAUUGGGCGUAAAGCGCGUGUAGGCGGUUCGGUAAGUCCGCUGUGAAAGUCGGGGGCUCAACCCUCGAAUGCCGGUGGAUACUGUCGGGCUAGAGUGCGGAAGAGGCGAGUGGAAUUCCUGGUGUAGCGGUGAAAUGCGCAGAUAUCAGGAGGAACACCGAUUGCGAAGGCAGCUCGCUGGGACGUUACUGACGCUGAGACGCGAAAGCGUGGGGAGCAAACAGG